rnacentral:lncRNA from 1 species
AAAAAUUCUCCUUACAUUUGUUUAUUUGUAUAAAACAAUAGAAUUAAUAACCAUAUUUAUCAUAAGAAGAAAAAUAGAGGCCUAUACAUUUAUAAUUUAAUUUUGAAUGUAUAAAUGUUUACUCUUUGAAAUUUCCCCCAAAAUAUCAGGGAUCUCUAUUCAACUAAUCUCUUCAUAAGAAUAUGGUUGCCAAUGUGAAGUGUACGUUUGGAUUUGAACCUUGUGAAAUGCUAAUAAAAAUUAGACUAAACAUGUCAGAAAAAAGUAGGGUAUAUUUAUAUUUCAUUAACAUGUAGUUGUGCUGAUUUUGCAUGUGAUGUUUGCUGAAGCACAUCAAUAAGCCUUCAGUUAAUCAAUACACCACAGUACCUAUGUAAAGCCUUGAAAAAGACAAAAAUCAGGGAUGCUUGUCUUCGUGGGAUUUUAAUAAGCUGAAAAUUCUUUUCAUUUAGGUUAGUGAGGAAAAUUGUAAUGCAAAUGAUAUAGGAAUAUAUUUAGGUUUAAAUAUGUGUACACUAAGCCGUAUAAUAAUAUGUAUAUUUACAGUUAAAUUACUGGUAAAUGUACAUAAUCUAGAGAAGUGAACAUUGUUAAUAUUUCAAAUUAUUGUAAAAGUAUAUGUGAUA